rnacentral:rRNA from 1 species
UACAGAGGGUGCAAGCGUUGUUCGGAAUUAUUGGGCGUAAAGCGCGUGUAGGCGGUUGCCCAAGUCGGGUGUGAAAGCCUUGAGCUCAACUCAAGAAAUGCACUCGGUACUGGGUGACUAGAGGACCGGAGAGGAUAGUGGAAUUCCCAGUGUAGUGGUGAAAUACGUAGAGAUUGGGAAGAACACCAGUGGCGAAGGCGGCUAUCUGGACGGUUUCUGACGCUAAGACGCGAAAGCGUGGGGAGCAAACAGG